GACGGGACCCGCACAAGCAGCGGAGCGUGUGGUUUAAUUCGUUGCUACACGAAGAACCUUACCUGGGUUUGACAUAUAGGUUGUAGGGAACUGAAAAGGGACCGACCCUUCGGGGAGCCUAUACAGGUGUUGCAUGGCUGUCGUCAGCUCGUGUCGUGAGAUGUUCGGUUAAGUCCGCUAACGAGCGCAACCCUCGUCGUAUGUUAUAUGUGUCAUACGAGACUGCCGGUAAAAGCCGGAGGAAGGUGAGGAUGAUGUCAAGUCAGCAUGACCUUUAUAUCCAGGGCUACACACACGCUACAAUGGUCUGUACAAUGGGUAGCCAAGCCGCGAGGCGGAGCCAAUCCUGAAAGCAGGCCUCAGUUCAGAAUUGCAGUCUGCAACUCGACUGCAUGAAGCCGGAGUUGCUAGUAACCGCAGGUCAGCAAUACUGCGGUGAAUACGUUCCCGGGUCUU
rnacentral:rRNA from 1 species